rnacentral:rRNA from 1 species
ACGUACACUCCUGCGGGAGGCAGCAGUGGGGAAUAUUGCACAAUGGGCGCAAGCCUGAUGCAGCCAUGCCGCGUGUAUGAAGAAGGCCUUCGGGUUGUAAAGUACUUUCAGCGGGGAGGAAGGCGAUAAGGUUAAUAACCUUGUCGAUUGACGUUACCCGCAGAAGAAGCACCGGCUAACUCCGUGCCAGCAGCCGCGGUAAUACGGAGGGUGCAAGCGUUAAUCGGAAUUACUGGGCGUAAAGCGCACGCAGGCGGUCUGUCAAGUCGGAUGUGAAAUCCCCGGGCUCAACCUGGGAACUGCAUUCGAAACUGGCAGGCUAGAGUCUUGUAGAGGGGGGUAGAAUUCCAGGUGUAGCGGUGAAAUGCGUAGAGAUCUGGAGGAAUACCGGUGGCGAAGGCGGCCCCCUGGACAAAGACUGACGCUCAGGUGCGAAAGCGUGGGGAGCAAACAUGAUUAGAAACCCCGGUAGUCCC